UACGGGGGGGGCAAGCGUUGUUCGGAAUUACUGGGCGUAAAGCGCGUGUAGGUGGCGAUGUAAGUCGGGUGUGAAAUCCCUCGGCUCAACCGAGGAAGUGCACUCGAUACUGUGUCGCUUGAGUGUUGGAGGGGAUGGCGGAAUUCCCGGUGUAGAGGUGAAAUUCGUAGAUAUCGGGAGGAACACCUGUGGCGAAGGCGGCCAUCUGGACAACUACUGACACUGAGACGCGAAAGCGUGGGUAGCAAACAGG
rnacentral:rRNA from 1 species